rnacentral:rRNA from 1 species
CCUACGGGAGGCAGCAGUGGGGAAUAUUGCACAAUGGGGGAAACCCUGAUGCAGCAACGCCGCGUGAGUGAAGAAGUAUUUCGGUAUGUAAAGCUCUAUCAGCAGGGAAGAAGAAAGACGGUACCUGACUAAUAAGCCCCGGCUAACUACGUGCCAGCAGCCGCGGUAAUACGUAGGGGGCAAGCGUUAUCCGGAUUUACUGGGUGUAAAGGGAGCGUAGACGGCCUAGCAAGUCUGAAGUGAAAUCCCGUGGCUCAACCGCGGAACUGCUUUUGAAACUGUUAAGCUGGAGGACUGGAGAUGCA